rnacentral:rRNA from 1 species
ACUUUCAACAACGGAUCUCUUGGUUCUGGCAUCGAUGAAGAACGCAGCGAAAUGCGAUAAGUAAUGUGAAUUGCAGAAUCCAGUGAACCAUCGAAUCUUUGAACGCACAUUGCGCCCGCCAGCACUCUGGCGGGCAUGCCUGUCCGAGCGUCAUCUC